rnacentral:rRNA from 1 species
GGGUGGGAUCAUACCAGCACUAAGGCACCGGAUCCCAUCAGAACUCCGCAGUUUAGCGUGC